rnacentral:rRNA from 1 species
GUUUGAUCUUGGCUCAGGAUGAACGCUAGCGGCAGGCCUAAUACAUGCAAGUCGAACGGUAAGGCCCCUUCGGGGGGACACGAGGGGCGCACGGGUGAGUAACGCGUACGCAACCUACCUUUGACAGAGGGAUAGCCCCGAGAAAUUGGGAUUAAUACCUCAUAACAUUCCGACCUCGCAUGAGGAUGGAAUCAAAGUUCCGGCGGUCAAAGAUGGGCGUGCGACCCAUUAGCUUGUUGGUAAGGUAACGGCUUACCAAGGCUACGAUGGGUAGCUGGCGUGAGAGCGUGACCAGCCACACGGGCACUGAGACACGGGCCCGACUCCUAAGGGAGGCAGCAGUAGGGAAUAUUGGUCAAUGGAGGAAACUCUGAACCAGCCAUGCCGCGUGCAGGAUGACAGCCCUAUGGGUUGUAAACUGCUUUUAUAUACCAAGAAACGCAGGUACGUGUACCUGUCUGACGGUAGUAUAUGAAUAAGCACCGGCUAACUCCGUGCCAGCAGCCGCGGUAAUACGGAGGGUGCAAGCGUUAUCCGGAUUUAUUGGGUUUAAAGGGUUCGUAGGCGGGACUUUAAGUCAGUGGUGAAAGCCUAUAGCUCAACUAUAGAAUUGCCAUUGAUACUGAAGUUCUUGAGUACACUUGAAGUUAGCGGAAUGUAUCAUGUAGCGGUGAAAUGCAUAGAUAUGAUACAGAACACCGAUUGCGAAGGCAGCUAACUAAAUUGUCACUGACGCUGAGGAACGAAAGCGUGGGGAGCGAACAGGAUUUAGAUACCCUGGUAGUCCACGCUGUAAACGAUGAUCACUCGAUAUUGGCCUUUAUGGUCAGUGUCCAAGCGAAAGUAUUAAGUGAUCCACCUGGGGAGUACGACCGCAAGGUUGAAACUCAAAGGAAUUGACGGGGGCCCGCACAAGCGGUGGAGCAUGUGGUUUAAUUCGAUGAUACGCGAGGAACCUUACCAGGGUUUAAAUGCAGAACGAUCGUCCCCGAAAGGGGAUUUUCCUUCGGGACAUUUUACAAGGUGCUGCAUGGUUGUCGUCAGCUCGUGCCGUGAGGUGUUGGGUUAAGUCCCGCAACGAGCGCAACCCUCAUCCUUAGUUGCCAUCAGGUAAUGCUGGGGACUCUAAGGAAACUGCCCGUGCAAGCGGUGAGGAAGGUGGGGAUGACGUCAAAUCAUCAUGGCCUUUAUGCCUAGGGCUACACACGUGCUACAAUGAUAAGGACAAUGGGUUGCUACCUGGUGACAGGAUGCUAAUCUCAAAAACCUUAUCUCAGUUCGGAUUGAAGUCUGCAACUCGACUUCAUGAAGCUGGAAUCGCUAGUAAUCGCGCAUCAGCAAUGGCGCGGUGAAUACGUUCCCGGACCUUGUACACACCGCCCGUCAAGCCAUGGAAGUUGGGUGUGCCUGAAGACGAUAACCGUAAGGAGUCGUCCAAGGUAAAACCAAUGACUG